rnacentral:rRNA from 1 species
GACGAACGCUGGCGGCGUGCUUAACACAUGCAAGUCGAACGAUAAGGCCCUUCGGGGUACACGAGUGGCGAACGGGUGAGUAACACGUGGGUGAUCUGCCCUGCACUUCGGGAUAAGCCUGGGAAACUGGGUCUAAUACCGGAUAGGACCACUGCCUGCAUGGGUGGUGGUGGAAAGCUUUUGCGGUGUGGGAUGGGCCCGCGGCCUAUCAGCUUGUUGGUGGGGUGAUGGCCUACCAAGGCGACGACGGGUAGCCGGCCUGAGAGGGUGACCGGGCACACUGGGACUGAGAUACGGCCCAGACUCCGACGGGAGGCAGCAGUGGGGAAUAUUGCACAAUGGGCGCAAGCCUGAUGCAGCGACGCCGCGUGAGGGAUGACGGCCUUCGGGUUGUAAACCUCUUUCAGCACCGACGAAGCGCAAGUGACGGUAGGUGCAGAAGAAGGACCGGCCAACUACGUGCCAGCCGCCGCAGUAA